AUUGAACGCUGGCGGCAUGCCUAACACAUGCAAGUCGAACGGCAGCAUGGUGCAGUUUACUGUACUGAUGGCGAGUGGCGGACGGGUGAGUAACGCGUAGGAAUACACCUUUAGGACUGGGACAACUUGUGGAAACGCGAGCUAAUACCGGAUAAUAGCUGAGGAUAACAGCUGGGGACCUUAGGGCCUGGCGUCUAGAGAGUAGCCUGCGUCUGAUUGGCUAGUUGGUGGGGUAAGGGCCUACCAAGGCGACGCUCGGUAGCUGGUCUGAGAGGAUGGACGGCCACACUGGGACUGAGAGACGGCCCAGACUCCUACGGGAGGCAGCAGUGGGGAAUAUUGGACAAUGGGGGGAACCCUGAUCCAGCGAUGCCGCGUGUGUGAAGAAGGCCUGAGGGUUGUAAAGCACUUUAGGUGGGGAGGAGGAUUUAUUGGUUAAGAGCUGAUGAAUUGGACGUUACCCACGGAAUAAGCACCGGCUAACUCCGUGCCAGCAGCCGCAGUAA
rnacentral:rRNA from 1 species